UACGAAGGGGGCGAGCGUUUACUCGGAAUUACUGGGCGUAAAGCGUGCGUAGGUGGUUUGUUUAAGUCUGAUGUGAAAGCCCUGGGCUCAACCUGGGAAUUGCAUUGGAUACUGGCAGGCUAGAGUGCGGGUAGAGGAUGGCGGAAUUCCCGGUGUAGCAGUGAAAUGCGUAGAGAUCGGGAGGAACAUCUGUGGCGAAGGCGGCCAUCUGGACCAGCACUGACACUGAGGCACGAAAGCGUGGGGAGCAAACAGG
rnacentral:rRNA from 1 species